GAUGAACGCUAGCGGCAGGCCUAACACAUGCAAGUCGAGGGGCAACUAGAGUGAUAGCAAUAUUACUUUGGCUAGACCGGCGCACGGGUGCGUAACACGUAUGCAACCUACCUUAUACUGGGGAAUAACUUCGAGAAAUCGGCGCUAAUACCCCAUAACAUUGCGAAGAGGCAUCUCUUUGCAAUUAAAGCUCCGGCGGUAUAAGAUGGGCAUGCGUCCAAUUAGCUAGUUGGUGAGGUAACGGCUCACCAAGGCUACGAUUGGUAGGGGUUCUGAGAGGAUGAUCCCCCACACUGGUACUGAGACACGGACCAGACUCCUACGGGAGGCAGCAGUGAGGAAUAUUGCGCAAUGGACGAAAGUCUGACGCAGCCAUGCCGCGUGCAGGAUGACGGCCCUAUGGGUUGUAAACUGCUUUUGUACGGGAAUAAACCCUUCUACGUGUAGGAGGCUGAAGGUACCGUAAGAAUAAGCACCGGCUAACUCCGUGCCAGCCGCCGCCGUAACAC
rnacentral:rRNA from 1 species